rnacentral:tRNA from 1 species
AGUCCUGUGGGGAAUUAACAUAUUGAAUUGCAAAUUCAGAGAAGUAGCUUCAACUCUGCCGGGACUU